rnacentral:lncRNA from 1 species
UCAUUUAUGUGUUUAUGAAAUUGAUCUUUCCUGUUUAAAGAAUUUGACUGAAGACUUUCACAAUUUCCUCAUCUCAAAUUCUCCACUUCACUUGUUCUUCACCUGCAGAUCCUGAUCAGGCUACUCGCGCUAAUUUUUUGUUUCAUUUGAUCAUGAUGACUAGGCUUUUGAUGUGUGGCGCUUACCCGUGAGUCCUUAUCCCACUGCAAG